GUUCCUAUAGUUGAGUAACAACAGUGGUUUUUCAAGUCACAGGUCUUGGUUAGAAUCCAGGUGGGAAUU
rnacentral:tRNA from 1 species